AAGUAAUCAUAGAUGGAGAGAGUAGAUUGUGAAAGGCUAUAAGAGAGGCGGCGCCACCGGCUGAGAGCGCACCGGCACCGAAGCAAUUGAAGUUCACUCCGGAGAUUCAAAGCUGAAGUGAGUAGGCUUUGACGGCUGAUACCGUUAUAUUUUGAGCGGUUUGCAAAUAUGCAAACAAGCAGGGUGGUACCGCGGAUAACCUUCGUCCCUUUU
rnacentral:ncRNA from 1 species